GACGAACUGUCCAAACGUUGUUCGGAAUCACUGGGCGUAAAGGGCGCGUAGGCGGUCGAUCAAGUCAGGGGUGAAAUCCUGCAGCUUAACUGUAGAAGUGCCUUUGAUACUGGUCGUCUCGAGGGAGGUAGGGGUGUGUGGAACUUCCAGUGGAGCGGUGAAAUGCGUUGAUAUUGGAAGGAACGCCGGAGGCGAAAGCGACGCACUGGACCUCUUCUGACGCUGAGGCGCGAAAGCUAGGGGAGCAAACGGG
rnacentral:rRNA from 1 species